UACGUAGGGGGCUAGCGUUAUCCGGAUUUACUGGGCGUAAAGGGAGCGUAGGCGGACUUUUAAGUGAGAUGUGAAAUACCCGGGCUCAACUUGGGUGCUGCAUUUCAAACUGGAAGUCUAGAGUGCAGGAGAGGAGAAUGGAAUUCCUAGUGUAGCGGUGAAAUGCGUAGAGAUUAGGAAGAACACCAGUGGCGAAGGCGAUUCUCUGGACUGUAACUGACGCUGAGGCUCGAAAGCGUGGGGAGCAAACAGGAUUAGAUACCCUGGUA
rnacentral:rRNA from 1 species